GAUGAACGCUGGCGGCGUGCCUAAUACAUGCAAGUCGAGCGAACAGACGAGGAGCUUGCUCCUCUGACGUUAGCGGCGGGCGGGUGAGUAACACGUGGAUCACCUACUUAUAAGACUGGGAUAACUUCGGGAAACCGGAGCUAAUACCAGAGAAUAUAUUGAACCGCAUGGUUCAAUAGUGAAUGACGGUUUUGGUGUCACUAAUAGAUGGAUCCGGGCGGCAUUGGCUAGUUGGUAAGGUAACGGCUUACCAAGGGGACGAUGCGUAGCCGACCUGAGAGAGUGAUAGGCCACAUGGGAACUGGAACCGGGUCCAGACUCCUACGGGAGGCAGCAUGAGGGAAUCUUGCGCAAUGGGCGAAAGCUUGACGGAGCAACGCGGCGUGGGUGAUGAAGGUCUUGGGUUCGUAAAACCCUGUUAUGAGGGAAGAACAAAUGUGUAAGUAACUAUGCACUUCUUGACGGUACCUAAUCAGAAAGCCACGGCUAACUACGUG
rnacentral:rRNA from 1 species